UACGGAGGGUGCAAGCGUUAUUCGGAAUUAUUGGGCGUAAAGGGCGCGUAGGCGGCCGAACAGGUCAGGUGUGAAAGCCCGGGGCUUAACCCCGGAAGUGCAUUUGAAACCUUUUGGCUUGAGUAUGGGAGAGGAGAGCGGAAUUCCUGGUGUAGAGGUGAAAUUCGUAGAUAUAGGAAGGAACACCAGUGGCGAAGGCGACUACCUGGACUGAUACUGACACUGAGGUGCGAAAGCGUGGGGAGCAAACAGGAUUAGAAACCCGAGUAGU
rnacentral:rRNA from 1 species